GUUACGGGCCAGGUGCGCGCAGCGCAGCCAGGUGCGGGGCGGGGGCCCAGGCAGGACCGUGAGGCUCGUGGACUUGGGCGCCAAGGAGAAGGGAACGCGAGGGGAACGCGAGGGGAACGCGGGAGCUGCUCAGACUCAGGCAGCGCCCCGCACGCUCCCUCAGGGUCACCCCACACCGCUCUUCCAGGAUCGCCCCACAGCCCUCCUGUGACACCUCGAUCCUCCUCCAGGGACAACCUGCACACUUCCCCAGGGUCACCUGAGCUCGAGGGCUGGUGACUUGGAAACCUUGGAAACCAGUCCGGCAGGACCCACCCGGACCUGCUGUUGGGCGGCCGCAUUCCAGGCCUGUGCCAUCACUUGGGAAAGAGGGUGCGGGCCUGCCUGGGCUCCAGGGGUGGGCGGGUGGCCGGCCCCCGGCUGCAUACGCACAACCAAAUUCUGCCUGCGAGAAACUCGGGUUGUGAGUCUCACAAAGCUCACUACCUGCGAGGCGAGGGCGCACCCGCGACACUCCAGUCCUGGACAGCCCUGUGCCCCGCGCUGCCCACGGUGGAACCCAGAAAGGCGCUGGGUCCACGCCAGUUCCAGAGCAGGUCCCGAAGAGGUGCUAGUUCUCUGGACACGGGUCCUCCACCUGGUCUCUACUGACACAGUGACACACACACGGACAGAGGCCUUCCUGCACACGGGACAGCACGCAGACCAGCGCCCUUACAGAAACAGAACCCUGAGGACAAAGUGGUGGAGAGAGAAGCAGGACAGGCAGAGGUGGCUUCAACUCAUUCACAGAGGAAAAGUGUCUCUCUUCUCCAACUGCAGCACCCACUAUGAAGGACGUGACAGCAAGACAAGGUAAGAUUGACACCAAGGAUCUUGACUAGGAGGACUACAAAGCUGGGGCUCCCUUGGAGAGAUGGAGGUGAGUGUGGGCAGAGGGCGCUGGUUUGCACCUGAGGAGACAGCGCGGUCUGAACCACAGUGGGUUCUGAGGGGUGAGCUGUGGAUUCACCUUUGGACUGGGAAGCAGGUCUGCUGCGCACACUCUGGGCCCCCAGUGGGGCUGGGGGGAGAUAUUCUCACGGUAGACUCAGUGGGUCCAACGGUCCUGAAGCCAAGGUUGGAUCUGGGCAACCCCAGAAUGACUGUGUUUGCCAAAGCAUGGGACAGCUACUGCUUCCGGCCUAGCCCAAGGGAAAUGGGCAGUGGGUGGAGCUGGAGAGAUUACUCCAGGCGCCAAGUUUGGAGAUGAGACUACAACACUGCAGUAACACCUCUGAGGUUGUGGGAGUUGUUUGAGACUAAUGUACUUUGGAAGCCAUCAUCUUUUUAUUUUUAUUUAAUUCAACAGAUACCUUGAAUGUACUCCUCCAGUCUAACUGAAAUUUUAAUGUGGUGACAGCACCUCCCCAAGUCCCACCCUCAAAGCCCCGGAUGACCACGUUCUGUUUUCUGUUUCUGAGUUCAGCGUUUUUUAGAUUCCCCACAGAUGUGAGAUCCCGCAAUAUUUGGCUUUCUGUUCCUCGUCUAUUUCACUUAACAUAAUGUCCUCCUGGCUCAUCCAUGUCUUCACACUGAUGGACCUCCUUCUCCAUUAAGGCUGGCCGUAUUCCAGCGCGUGUGCAUUUUCCCAACCACCCACACACAUUUGGGUUGAUUCCAUAUCUUGCCUGUGUGAACAUGCAGUAAUGGGCAUGGGAGGGCAGCUGUCUCUGACACUCUGACUUCACUUUCUGUGCGUGUAUACCCAG